UGCUCGUAAGAAGGAACUUAAAAAUAAGCAGCGGGAAGAGGAGCGCCGCCGUAUGGAGGAGGAAAAAGCAGCCAAACAGGUACUACAGCGAAGGUAAGCU